UGGGGAAUAUUGCGCAAUGGGGGGAACCCUGACGCAGCCAUGCCGCGUGAAUGAAGAAGGCCUUAGGGUUGUAAAGUUCUUUCGGUAUUGAGGAAGGUUGAUGUGUUAAUAGCACAUCAAAUUGACGUUAAAUACAGAAGAAGCACCGGCUAACUCCAUGCCAGCAGCCGCGGUAAUACGGAGGGUGCGAGCGUUAAUCGGAAUAACUGGGCGUAAAGGGCACGCAGGCGGUUAUUUAAGUGAGGUGUGAAAGCCCCGGGCUUAACCUGGGAAUUGCAUUUCAGACUGGGUAACUAGAGUACUUUAGGGAGGGGUAGAAUUCCACGUGUAGCGGUGAAAUGCGUAGAGAUGUGGAGGAAUACCGAAGGCGAAGGCAGCCCCUUGGGAAUGUACUGACGCUCAUGUGCGAAAGCGUGGGGAGCAAGCAGGAUUAGAUACCCUGGUAGUCCACGCUGUAAACGCUGUCGAUUUGGGGGUUGGGGUUUAACUCUGGCGCCCGUAGCUAACGUGAUAAAUCGACCGCCUGGGGAGUACGGCCGCAAGGUUA
rnacentral:rRNA from 1 species